UACGUAGGGUGCGAGCGUUAAUCGGAAUUACUGGGCGUAAAGCGUGCGCAGGCGGUUCGUUGUGUCCGAUGUGAAAGCCCCGAGCUUAACUUGGGAAUGGCAUUGGAAACUGGCGAGCUGGAGUGCGGCAGAGGGGGGUGGAAUUCCACGUGUAGCAGUGAAAUGCGUAGAGAUGUGGAGGAACACCGAUGGCGAAGGCAGCCCCCUGGGCCGACACUGACGCUCAGGCACGAAAGCGUGGGGAGCAAACAGG
rnacentral:rRNA from 1 species